UGGGGAAUAUUGGACAAUGGGGGAAACCCUGAUCCAGCAAUGCCGCGUGAAUGAAGAAGGUCUUAGGAUUGUAAAGUUCUUUUCACAGAGAAGAUAAUGACGGUAUCUGUGGAAUAAGCCCCGGCAAACUCUGUGCCAGCAGCCGCGGUAAGACAGAGGGGGCUAGCGUUGUUCGGAAUGACUGGGCGUAAAGGACGCGUAGGUGGUUUGUCACGUCAAGCGUGAAAGCCCUCGGCUUAACCGAGGAGUGUCGUUUGAAACGAGCAGACUUGAGAGCAGGAGAGGAAAGUGGAAUUUCUCGUGUAGAAGUGAAAUUCGUAGAUAUGAGAAGGAACACCAUAGGCGAAAGCGACUUUCUGGCCUGCACCUGACACUGAGGCGUGAAAGCGUGGGGAGCAAACA
rnacentral:rRNA from 1 species